GACGAACGCUGGCGGCGUGCCUAAUGCAUGCAAGUCGAGCGGACGAAUCGAAAGCUUGCUUUUGUUUCGUUAGCGGCGGACGGGUGAGUAACACGUGGGCAACCUGCCUUGUAGACGGGGAUAACACCGAGAAAUCGGUGCUAAUACCGGAUAACACGUAAUGCCGCAUGACGUUUCGUUGAAAGACGGCGCAAGUUGCAGCUACAGGUUGGGCCCGCGGCGCAUUAGCUAGUUGGUGAGGUAACGGCUCACCAAGGCGACGAUGCGUAGCCGACCUGAGAGGGUGAUCGGCCACACUGGAACUGAGACACGGCCCAGACUCCUACGGGAGGCAGCAGUAGGGAAUCUUCCGCAAUGGACGAAAGUCUGACGGAGCAACGCCGCGUGAGCGAUGAAGGCCUUCGGGUCGUAAAGCUCUGUUGUUAGGGAAGAACAAGUAACGCAGUAACUGGCGUUACCUUGACGGUACCUAACGAGAAAGCCACGGCUAACUACGUG
rnacentral:rRNA from 1 species